GACGAACGCUGGCGGCGUGCUUAACACAUGCAAGUCGAACGGUGAAGGGGCCUGCUUUUGUGGGCCCUGGAUGAGUGGCGAACGGGUGAGUAACACGUGAGUAACCUGCCCCCUUCUUCUGGAUAACCGCAUGAAAGUGUGGCUAAUACGGGAUAUUCUGGGUCUGUCGCAUGAUGGGUCUGGGAAAGAUUGCGCCUUUGGGAGUUUUUGGUGGGGGAUGGGCUCGCGGCCUAUCAGCUUGGUGGUGGGGUGAUGGCCUACCAAGGCGGUGACGGGUAGCCGGCCGGAGAGGGUGGACGGUCACACUGGGACUGAGACACGGCCCAGACGCCUACGAGAGGCAGCAGUGGGGAAUAUUGCACAAUGGGCGCAAGCCUGAUGCAGCGACGCCGCGUGAGAGAUGGAGGCCUUCGGGUUGUAAACCUCUUUCGCCAGUGAAGCAGGCCUGCUCCUUGUGGGUGGGUUGACGGUAGCUGGAUAAGAAGCGCCGGCUAACUACGUG
rnacentral:rRNA from 1 species